rnacentral:rRNA from 1 species
AUUGAACGCUGGCGGCAUGCUUUACACAUGCAAGUCGAACGGUAACAGGCCUUCGGGUGCUGACGAGUGGCGAACGGGUGAGUAAUGCAUCGGAACGUACCCAGAGGUGGGGGAUAACGCAGCGAAAGCUGUGCUAAUACCGCAUGUGAUCUGAGGAUGAAAGCGGGGGACCGAGCAGCAAUGUUUGGCCUCGCGCCUUUGGAGCGGCCGAUGUCGGAUUAGCUAGUUGGUGGGGUAAAGGCCUACCAAGGCGACGAUCCGUAACUGGUCUGAGAGGACGACCAGCCACACUGGGACUGAGACACGGCCCAGACUCCUACGGGAGGCAGCAGUGGGGAAUUUUGGACAAUGGGCGCAAGCCUGAUCCAGCAAUGCAGCGUACGGGAAGAAGGCCUGCGGGUUGUAAACCGCUUUUGGCAGGAACGAAACGGUGUCCGCUAAUACCGGGCGCUAAUGACGGUACCUGCAGAAUAAGCACCGGCUAACUACGU